rnacentral:lncRNA from 1 species
UCCCUCCACCUAGUUUCCAGUCUCCUCAAACAGCGCCACCUGCUGGACAAGCCUGCAAACCACAUGUCUCCCAGAGUAUUUAUUGAACAGGUGGACAAGCGUCGUUGUUAGUGAUGCCUUUGCUCCCUCACUGCCAGAGCUGGACAUUCUGCCAGCAUCUCUUACAAUGAAAGUUGCCCCUCUUCAAGGUGAAACAGCAAUAGUGUUCAACAAAUAUUUCUGAAUACCUAUAAAUGUUCAAGACGUGA